UUUAUAAAAAUGCAUGAGCAUGCCCAGAAUAUUAAUAAUAUUGAAAUUACCAAAAAAAAAAUCAAUCUCUAAGUAAUCAACUUGACUACAGCUGGUUGGACUAGAAGCAAAAUGAUUGGUCAACACUGAUCACCUAUACAGAUAUAAUAAUAUCUAUCAAUUGGCUGACAAAAAAUAAUAAAUUUUAAACUAAAGAAGUUAAAAAAAAAUUAAUCCUAGGUUUUUGCCCAGAUUUUGAUGGUCUGUACUAUAAUUGGACCUAAUCAUCUGCAAUUAAACUUAACAAACAACAUCAACAACAACCCAAGUUGGCCUCAGGCUCACAACAAACUCACAAUGCCCAUCCAAGGCCUACAUGAAAUUUAAUCUCAGUCUAAAUCUCCAAUAUCUAGAUCAGGUCCUUAACUCUUCUAUUGUCUAAUUAAAACUACAAUAUCAAAAGCUCCUCCUAAAAUUUCAUGAUAUAAUAAUAAUCAGGUUCAUCUAUAAAACUUCAAUUCCAUAUUAAAGUUCUAAUGAAUAUUCAACAACAUUCUCUCUUAAAAUUAGACUAAAUUCCCUGUCACAAAACUCAAAUCCAUUAUUCAAUAAUUAUAUCAACUUACACAAAUUUUCAAUUUAUAUCUUCAUACAAUUAUUAGUUCCAACACUUCAUACUCAAAUCCAAAUUAGAAUAUUCCACAAUAUAUUUAUAUCACAAAAAAUUCAACUAAAAAUCUAUAUUUAUUUCCCAAAAAUAUUUCACAAUGACUUAAAAAUUCAUUAAACACCAUAUACUAUUUCAAAAUAAUUUUAGUUUCAUCAAAAUAACAUAUUCAACUUAACCCAAUCCCUAAUACCAAAAUUGGCAAUUUGUACAUUCAAAUUUAUAUAUAA
rnacentral:misc_RNA from 1 species